rnacentral:rRNA from 1 species
UACAGAGGUCUCAAGCGUUGUUCGGAUUCAUUGGGCGUAAAGGGUGCGUAGGUGGGCAGGUAAGUCAGUGGUGAAAUCUCCGAGCUUAACUCGGAAACUGCCAUUGAUACUAUCUGUCUUGAAUUAUCUGGAGGUGAGCGGAAUAUGUCAUGUAGCGGUGAAAUGCUUAGAUAUGACAUAGAACACCAAUUGCGAAGGCAGCUCACUACGGAUAUAUUGACACUGAGGCACGAAAGCGUGGGAUCAAACAGG